AAAUGAAGGUAGCAUGGUAAUGUGCACAAAGAGAGAUGUUGCAAGGUCGGCAUGUCUGCCCCCUCCGAUUUUUCAUGACUUGGGGGCCUGGUUUUAGACCUACAAUU